rnacentral:tRNA from 1 species
UCCCUGGUGGCCUAGUAGUUAAGGAUUCAGCAUUGUCACUGCUGUGACCUGGGUUUGAUCCCUGGCCCAGGAA